rnacentral:rRNA from 1 species
UGGGGAAUUUUGCGCAAUGGGCGAAAGCCUGACGCAGCAACGCCGCGUGGGUGAUGAAGGUCUUCGGAUCGUAAAACCCUGUCGUCAGGGACGAAGGUUGCGAGUUUAAGAGAUGCGCAACUUGACGGUACCUGGAGAGGAAGCCCCGGCUAACUCUGUGCCAGCAGCCGCGGUAAUACAGAGGGGGCAAGCGUUAUUCGGAAUUAUUGGGCGUAAAGGGCGCGUAGGCGGUUUUUUAAGUCAGAUGUGUAAUCCCCGAGCUCAACUUGGGAACUGCAUCUGAGACUGGGAGACUAGAGUACUGGAGAGGGUGGUAGAAUUCCACGUGUAGCGGUGAAAUGCGUAGAGAUGUGGAGGAAUACCAGUGGCGAAGGCGGCCACCUGGACAGUGACUGACGCUGAGGCGCGAAAGUGUGGGUAGCAAACA